rnacentral:lncRNA from 1 species
UUCAACUUUUUGUACCAUCGACUUUCAACAUCCUGUUUAAACGACAAUAAGUUUUACUUAGCAGUUUUCCCAUUCACUACCAUUUGUUGGCACCAACAUUGAAUCACUCUGUAUAUUCCAAAGCAAUUCAGUAGCUUUUUUCAGGUGGUAAAUAUAUUUGAAAGAGCUGGACAUGUGGCCUUGUUGUAUUAUAUUUAUUAUGCUGUGGGCACUGUAUUUCUUUGCCUGGGAUGCAUUUUGGAACCGCUAUAUGAUAAUCAGAAAGUUUUUUCUGGAAAUGCUACGGCUUUCUCCAGAAAACUGCCUCUGCCCUUGUGGUUUCCUUAUGACAUUCAGGCGCACUAUUGGGCAAGUAAACUGAUGCGAAUUGGUAACGAAAUUGCGACUAAACUCUUGAUUAUAGGAGACGUUUUGCGUUACAAUUCUCCUAAUUUGUUUACUGGUGGUAUUCCAAGUGGCUGUGGAUGUUUUGUUUUUCUACUUUAUCCGAAGUCCGGUCAUUCAGUUGGAAAUUCUGCAUCAUUUUUUUAAGCGGUUCAAUGAUUACACUGGACGGAUUAGUGUGGAGCCAGGAAACGUUGCUUCCAACGUCAUGAUGAGAAAGUGCAUCGACAUGCAUCGGAAAGUUAUCAAGUUUGUGGACAUUUUCAAUGAGAACUUUAGCAACAUUAUAGUGUUGGAUUUUGUUCAAUCGUCCUUUCGCCUUGCAUCUAUAAGCGCCGCCAUAAUAAUGACUGAGUCAUUUACAGUAACUAGUUUCGUUUUUACACUAAUUUUCUUGUGGAUAACACUAGUGAGGGAAUACUAUAUUUACCAUGCAGGAAAUGAGAUUAUUUUUCUGGUGAAUACAACUCACUAACUAACCAAUCGAAAAGUCUAAUACUCUGUUUAUAGAGCUCAGGAUUGG